UCGAGAAUCUUCGGCAAUGGGCGAAAGCCUGACCGAGCGAUGCCGCGUGUGGGAUGAAGGCCUUCGGGUUGUAAACCACUGUCGUAGGGGAUUAAUGGUAGGUGGGUUCUCCCAUCUAUUUGAACGAUCCUAGGAGGAAGGACGGGCUAAGUUCGUGCCAGCAGCCGCGGUAAGACGAACCGUCCAAACGUUAUUCGGAAUCACUGGGCUUACAGAGUUCGUAGGCGGUCCGGUAAGUUAGGUGUGAAAUCCCUCGGCUCAACCGAGGAACUGCGCUUGAUACUGCCGGACUCGAGGGGGAUAGAGGAAAGUGGAACUGAUGGUGGAGCGGUGAAAUGCGUUGAUAUCAUCAGGAACACCGGUGGCGAAGGCGGCUUUCUGGGUCCUUUCUGACGCUGAGGAACGAAAGCUAGGGUAGCGAACGG
rnacentral:rRNA from 1 species